rnacentral:rRNA from 1 species
GACGAACGCUGGCGGCGUGCUUAACACAUGCAAGUCGAACGGAAAGGCCCUGCUUUUGUGGGGUGCUCGAGUGGCGAACGGGUGAGUAACACGUGAGUAACCUGCCCUUGACUUUGGGAUAACUUCAGGAAACUGGGGCUAAUACCGGAUAGGAGCUCCUGCUGCAUGGUGGGGGUUGGAAAGUUUCGGCGGUUGGGGAUGGACGCGCGGCUUAUCAGCUUGUUGGUGGGGUAGUGGCUUACCAAGGCUGUGACGGGUAGCCGGCCUGAGAGGGUGACCGGCCACAUGGGGACUGAGGUACGGACCAGACUCCUACGGGAGGCAGCAGUGGGGAAUAUUGCACAAUGGGCGGAAGCCUGAUGCAGCAACGCCGCGUGCGGGAUGACGGCCUUCGGGUUGUAAACCGCUUUCGCCUGUGACGAAGCGUGAGUGACGGUAAUGGGUAAAGAAGCACCGGCUAACUACGUG